AUUGAACGCUGGCGGCAGGCCUAACACAUGCAAGUCGGGCGGUAACAGGGGAAGCUUGCUUCCCGCUGACGAGCGGCGGACGGGUGAGUAAUGCAUAGGAAUCUGCCUGAUAGUGGGGGAUAGCCCAGAGAAAUUUGGAUUAAUACCCGCAUACGCCUACGGGGAAAGGACGUGGGACGUCCUCGGAGCCGUAGCGCUAUCAGAUGAGCCUAUGUCGGAUUAGCUAGUUGGUGGAGGUAACGGCUCACCAAGGCGACGAUCCGUAGCUGGUCUGAGAGGAUGAUCAGCCACACUGGGACUGAGACACGGCCCCAGACUCCUACGGGAGGCAGCAGUGGGGAAUAUUGGACAAUGGCGCAAGCCUGACCCAGCCAUGCCGCGUGUGUGAAGAAGGCCUUCGGUUG
rnacentral:rRNA from 1 species